rnacentral:rRNA from 1 species
UACGUAGGGGGCAAGCGUUGUUCGGAUUCAUUGGGCGUAAAGGGUGCGUAGGCGGCGCGGUAAGUCGGGUGUGAAAUCUCGGAGCUUAACUCCGAAACUGCGUUCGAUACUGCCGUGCUUGAGGACUGGAGAGGAGACUGGAAUUUACGGUGUAGCGGUGAAAUGCGUAGAUAUCGUAAGGAAGACCAGUGGCGAAGGCGGGUCUCUGGACAGUUCCUGACGCUGAGGCACGAAGGUCAGGGGAGCAAACGGG